GUGAGGAAUUUUGCGCAAUGGGGGAAACCCUGACGCAGCGACGCCGCGUGGAGGAUGAAGGCCUUCGGGUCGUAAACUCCUGUCAGAGGUGAAGAAUACCCGCAAGGGUUUGACGGUAACCUCAGAGGAAGCCCCGGCUAACUACGUGCCAGCAGCCGCGGUAAUACGUAGGGGGCAAACGUUACUCGGAAUUACUGGGCGUAAAGGGUGCGUAGGCGGCUGGGAAAGUCAAGGAUGAAAUCCCGUGGCUCAACUGCGGAACGGUCCUUGAAACUACUCGGCUUGAGGAUAACCGAAGAGAACGGAAUUCCCGGUGGAGCGGUGAAAUGCGUAGAUAUCGGGAGGAACACCUGAGGCGAAAGCGGUUCUCUAGACUACUCCUGACGCUGAGGCACGAAAGCUAGGGGAGCAAACGGGAUUAGAAACCCCAGUAGUCC
rnacentral:rRNA from 1 species